UCGGGAAUUUUGGGCAAUGGGCGAAAGCCUGACCCAGCAACGCCGCGUGAAGGAUGAAGUAUUUCGGUAUGUAAACUUCGUAAGAAUAGGAAGAAUAAAUGACGGUACUAUUUGUAAGGUCCGGCUAACUACGUGCCAGCAGCCGCGGUAAUACGUAGGGACCAAGCGUUGUUCGGAUUUACUGGGCGUAAAGGGCGCGUAGGCGGUUUGUCAAGUCAGUUGUGAAAUCUCCGAGCUUAACUCGGAACGGUCAACUGAUACUGUCAAACUAGAGUACAGAAGGGGCAGUCGGAAUUCUUGGUGUAGCGGUGAAAUGCGUAGAUAUCAAGAGGAACACCUGAGGCGAAGGCGGGUUGCUGGGCUGAUACUGACGCUGAAGCGCGAAAGCUAGGGUAGCAAACGGGAUUAGAUACCCAAGUAGUCCCUGAGCGGGCUGGCAAGGCGCAU
rnacentral:rRNA from 1 species